UGUUCAGUUAAUCCCUCCCACAAGGGGAUUGGAGAGGAUUCAAAGGGAUUGAGGUGGAUUUUGAUUUGUGGGGGAUUUAAUCCCUCUCAAUCCCCUCCAAACCCCUUCAAAUCUGAAGGAACCGAACAAGGCCGAAGGCUCCUCAAACAGCAGGCAUCAACGACCAUGGGUAGGCGAAGGAGAUGAAGCAGCAGGCUCGAUCUGCUCGUGUGUCCGCCUCCCGCCGCCCAUGGACCUACAGAUCAUUGCCAUCCCGAGUGAUGAACUUGGAGGAGGACGGGGAUGAGCUCACCGUCUUCCUCGCGAGAGGCACUGGCGAGGCUACGCGCUUUGAUUGGGCGAUGGACGGCCCCGUCCCGCUCUCGCUUCGCCAUGGACCCGCCCUUCUCGUGUGCCGUGCCUUAUGCUAGUAGGUGGGUGGGGGAGGACGAGACGAGCUCAACCCGUACGAGGUCGCUGCGAUUGUCGACGCCUCCUCUGUCGCCGGAGGCCAUGGGCCCUCCUCAUCAACCGCAUAAUCCACCUUUGAUGUUGUUUUCAUCGGGUGUGAGGAUCAAGUGAAGGUGAGCAGCAUAUUCAAAUUUGCAUAUCAUGGCCAACCUGCUUGUUUAGCACAAUCCCGUAGGCUGCACAAGAAGUUGCCUUGGCUAUCUGUGGUUGGUUUCGUAGUGUAUUUGGGGUUAUGCCUGUGUUUGGAGUCAAAGAUUCCAACACAUGUAGGCAUCUGUGUGAGUUUGUAUGGGUCACUAUUUUGGGUUGAAGAAGAUUGAUAGGGUAUAGUUCAUCUGUAAAAAGUGACUAUGAAUUUGUUUUUGUUUAAAGGUUUGCGAUAUUAUAGAUGGAUUAUUCAUUGAAUUGUUUAGACUGUUUACUGGAAAUUGCAAGAACGAACUUGAGACAAUUAAUAAAGCAGUAUCCAUUUGAGCAACUGAAGGUAAAAUAUUCUUGCUUGGUUAUUCCAGUUAUGUUGCAAUAUUUGAGUUUUGUGGCUCAAGAUGUCGAUUCACAUUGUCUUAAUUCAUGCGUACUGGUUUCUUUAUACCCCUUGACGGGGAGAUCCAGGAAGGAGGGAAGGAGGCGAGUCUCUCCCACGGCGUCGCCGUCAAGGAGCACUAAGGGACCUCCCUGUCUUGGUUUGUAGCAUGUACAUUCACCACGCCGCCGCCAGCUAUAUGCAUCACCAUGAGGAGGACAAAAUGUCAUAAUAAUGGUUUCGCUAAAGUGGUCGGACCCUUUCUUGGACCCUGCGCAAGCGGGAGCUACAUGCACCAGGUUGCCCUUUUACAAUAAUGGUUUCGCUAAAGCUAGCAGGCGUUUCUGAACCUGUAAGUUCAUUUUGUUUUCUAUAGUUCUAUGUAUUCCGGUGUCAUUAAACGUAUGUAGCAGCUAAAGUUAUGUGUAGGUAAGGUGGAACGUGAAACUUUCUUGUCUCCCCAUCCCAGUAGUUCCAUGUUUAUUUCUCACAGAUGUUGCCUAUUAUAUAAUACCAGGUC